rnacentral:rRNA from 1 species
CCUACGGGUGGCAGCAGUGGGGAAUAUUGGACAAUGGGCGAAAGCCUGAUCCAGCCAUGCCGCGUGUGUGAAGAAGGCCUUCGGGUUGUAAAGCACUUUCAGUGGGGAAGAAAGCCUUGGGGCUAAUACCCUCGAGGAAGGACAUCACCCACAGAAGAAGCACCGGCUAACUCCGUGCCAGCAGCCGCGGUAAUACGGAGGGUGCGAGCGUUAAUCGGAAUUACUGGGCGUAAAGCGCGCGUAGGCGGUCUGAUAAGCCGGUUGUGAAAGCCCCGGGCUCAACCUGGGAACGGCAUCCGGAACUGUCAGGCUAGAGUGCAGGAGAGGAAGGUAGAAUUCCCGGUGUAGCGGUGAAAUGCGUAGAGAUCGGGAGGAAUACCAGUGGCGAAGGCGGCCUUCUGGACUGACACUGACGCUGAGGUGCGAAAGCGUGGGUAGCAAACAGGAUUAGAUACCGGGUAGUC